rnacentral:rRNA from 1 species
AGUCAAUAGAUACCCGGGUAGUCCACGCCCUAAACGAUGUCUACUAGUUGUUGGUGGAGUAAAAUCCAUGAGUAAACGCAGCUAAACGCGUGAAGUAGACCGCCUGGGGAGUACGGUCGCAAGAUUAGAACUCAAAGGAAUUGACGGGGGCCCGCACAAGCGGUGGAUUAUGUGGAUUAAUUCGAUGCAACGCGAAAACCUUAACCUGGCCUUGACAUGCCACUAACGAAGCAGAGAUGCAUUAGGUGCCCGUAAGGGAAAGUGGACACAGGUGCUGCAUGGCUGUCGUCAGCUCGUGUCGUGAGAUGUUGGGUUAAGUCCCGCAACGAGCGCAACCCUUGCCAUUAAUUGCCAUCAUUUAGUUGGGCACUUUAAUGGGACUGCCGGUGACAAACCGGAGGAAGGUGGGGAUGACGUCAAGUCCUCAUGGCCCUUAUGGCCAGGGCUUCACACGUAAUACAAUGGUCGGUACAGAGAGUUGCCAACCCGCGAGGGGGAGCUAAUCUCAGAAAGCCGAUCGUAGUCCGGAUUGUUCUCU